UACGGAGGGUGCAAGCGUUAAUCGGAAUUACUGGGCGUAAAGCGCACGCAGGUGGCUGAGUCAGUCGAUUGUGAAAGCCCUGGGCUUAACCUGGGAAUUGCAGUCGAUACUACUCAGCUAGAGUAUGGGAGAGGGCAGUGGAAUUCCCGGUGUAGCGGUGAAAUGCGUAGAUAUCGGGAGGAAUACCGGUGGUGAAGACGGCUCUCUGGGCCGCCACUGACGCUGAGACACGAAAGCGUGGGUAGCAAACAGG
rnacentral:rRNA from 1 species